UACGUAGGGUGCAAGCGUUGUCCGGAAUUAUUGGGCGUAAAGAGCUCGUAGGCGGUCUGUCGCGUCUGCUGUGAAAUCCCGGGGCUCAACCCCGGGCUUGCAGUGGAUACGGGCAGACUAGAGUUCGGUAGGGGAGACUGGAAUUCCUGGUGUAGCGGUGAAAUGCGCAGAUAUCAGGAGGAACACCGGUGGCGAAGGCGGGUCUCUGGGCCGAUACUGACGCUGAGGAGCGAAAGCGUGGGGAGCGAACAGG
rnacentral:rRNA from 1 species